rfam:Tauraco erythrolophus contig24953, whole genome shotgun sequence.
ACAAAGACUUUUUUAAAAGUCACAUACUGUUGCUUCAAAACUGAAG